AUUUUUGCACUUGUUAAUGGUUCUUUGUGUUUAUUCAAACCACAAGACAAUAGGGAAUCCCGUGUGAACCGGGAACAGUACCCGCUGCUGUGAUCUCCGUUAAACCAUCGGCAUCUUAGCCACUGUAAUAAAUUUGUUACGGGAAGGCGCCGAAAAGGUGGAGUAGUCAGAAGACCUGCCAUUGCAAAAUCAUUAUU
rnacentral:ncRNA from 2 species